rnacentral:lncRNA from 1 species
UUCAACUAGCAAGUGAGAUAUCUUAGGUUAAAAUUUUGACAACUGGAUAGAACAAAGGGUUUUUCUUAAAAAGCGAAAGCAAAGCAACAACUGAACCACUAUGACUGCGUCAAAGAAUUUGCAGGCAGCAACGCAUCUUUUACAGGCAACAGUGUCUACACAACCUUAUGUUAUAUCCAUCCACCCUCACUAAGAACUUGCGGCAGUACCCAGAAAAUCCAACAUCAAAUAACAGUCUCUUUCUGCUGAAGUUCGGAAAGCUACUGCCAAUACUAAAUUCAGCAUUCCAUGUACAUAUAGGCUGUACGGUACUAGUCAAAUGCCAGUAUCUACUGUCAAUACAACAGAGAAUGCAGCGUGUCUAAUCGGAAAUUUUAUCAAGCCUGUACAUACACUUAAACAAAUGCUUACAAAGUUAGUCCCAUACUGCCUGCUCUCAUUUUACUUUCAGUCUUGAGGUUCACAAAUUCUCUGGAGUAAGGUCAGUUCCGGGGUAUUGACAGAAAAAGCUGUCCUCUAAAUGCACUAUUUUCCACAUUUGCAAGGAAAGACCACAAGCAUUGUUUUGAUUACCUCUGGUACACAUACAAGUAUUGCUUUUAAAUAUGUUUCUAGUCAAGUUCUCUAAGCCAAAAGCCAACAAGCUGUGACACAGCUGCCAAACAUGCCAUUGAGCCACACUGUGGCUACAGCACAAGGUGGUUACUGUGAAGCUGGGAACAGGAAAGCUCUGCCACAGAAGGAAGAAACAGUUCCUGGGCAGCAAGAGCAGCAGUCACUGCCUCACAGGGCAGCAAGAGCUCACUGGUGCUUGGGAUGUCUGUGGGACUGUGCUUCAGUCCCACCAAAUUUUUAUCAGCAUUCUCAAUUUCCAAGAAAAAGCACAAAUCUGGCAAAUCCUCCCUCUUACAAGGGAGGGAAACACAACUACACUUGUUGUGUUUCAGUUUAAACAAAGUGAUCAGCACUAAAACAAUUCAACAUCAAAUAUGAUACAGGCAAAGGCAUGCACCAACAAGAGAUCAAGUGUAUCCCACCGUGUGCAAUUUAAAAUAACCAACUUCUCACAAAGCACAUUAAAACCCAAGAAAAUUAGCUUUGUGCCACCAACUCAGAUGAAUUUUUAACACGUUAUGAAAGAAUUAGAGCUCAAUUUAUACAAAUAAUUUUCAGAACUGUAACAACAAAGUCAAUAGAAGGGGUAUACAAGUGCAUCUUUUGACAUAAGUACACACAACGGCAAACUACAAUUGGAUAUAAUCUCCAUUUUGAGACUUUGAAUUAAAGACUUCGCAACGUAUUUGG